UCAAUAGUGCAUCGCGAACCGAGCGACGG
rnacentral:sRNA from 1 species